GAUGAACGCUGGCGGCGUGCCUAAUACAUGCAAGUCGAGCGAACGGACGAGAAGCUUGCUUCUCUGAUGUUAGCGGCGGACGGGUGAGUAACACGUGGAUAACCUACCUAUAAGACUGGGAUAACUUCGGGAAACCGGAGCUAAUACCGGAUGAUAUUUUGAACCGCAUGGUUCAAAAGUGAAAGACGGUCUUGCUGUCACUUAUAGAUGGAUCCGCGCUGCAUUAGCUAGUUGGUAAGGUAACGGCUUACCAAGGCAACGAUGCAUAGCCGACCUGAGAGGGUGAUCGGCCACACUGGAACUGAGACACGGUCCAGACUCCUACGGGAGGCAGCAGUAGUGAAUCUUCCGCAAUGGGCGAAAGCCUGACGGAGCAACGCCGCGUGAGUGAUGAAGGUCUUCGGAUCGUAAAACUCUGUUAUUAGGGAAGAACAUAUGUGUAAGUAACUGUGCACAUCUUGACGAUACCUAAUCAGAAAGCCACGGCUAACUACGUG
rnacentral:rRNA from 1 species